rnacentral:tRNA from 1 species
UCCUAGGUGGCUCAGUGGUAAAGAAUCUGCCUGCAAUGCAGGAGAUUCAGGUUCUAUUCUUGGAUCAGGAA